rnacentral:tRNA from 1 species
GCUGGGAUGGCGGAGCUUGGUCAAACCUUUUCUUUUUGAAACGAAUUGACAACCGAAGGUUGUCGGUUUGGACGGAAAAGGGGCUGAACGCGCUAGCCUGGAAAGCUAGUAUCCCGUGAGCCGACUCAGCAAAGCUGAGUCAGUCGGAUGGAUGCGCAGGUUCAAAUCCUGCUCCCAGCG